AACUUAAUCAGAGACCAUGUCCAAACCGUGACUAGAUCGCACCUUCCACAGGUGUGAGUAGAACCACCCUGACGACGAGCGACACAGACAGUCGCGGCACUUCAGCGACAGAGACCAAAGGUUCGAGCACGAUGUCCUCCAGUAGUCAUUCCAAUCUAGUCAUAGGCUUAGGCCAUGACGACGCCCUGGUCCGAUCACUUGAUGACUAGAUCGCACCCGGAGACAAAACGAAAGUACAUACUGCUACACCUGAAGAAAACUCGUCCACCUCAACGACAACAGCCAGAUGUUUGAACUUGAAGUCUUCCUGGAGACGACACCUUUGCUUCCUUGCAGUUGAUCAUCGCAGACCUCUGUACAUGAUGCAAUGACUCAUGACCCAAGCACUGCUCGGACACUGUUGUCAAAGAGUUAUCAGAGAAAGGUAAGUCUGAGUCUUCAGUAAAGACAUGCCUUAUUUGCUUGUACUACUGUUGACAAUGACGGAAAAUGAGAGGAAGGUGAGGGGAAUGAUGAUUCCUAAACACUACUGUCAUCGGUUUUCUCCUUUGUUGCAACUAAUAGCAGUCCAGUAUGCCAUAGAUAUUUGAGCGGGUUAAGGCAGUUAUUAAUGUUUCAUGCCAGACCCUGUCUGAGUUUUUCUCUUUUAUGUUUUCACUACACUUCAACACCACAUGUGAGUAGCUGCCUGUCACCACAUGUCCGCGUAGGAGGGUCUUUAAUCUUUUCUGUGGGUGAGAUAGCAAUGUUUAGAUUGGUGACUAGGAUUGAUAUUUUGUUUUACUGAAAGUCGAGUUGGUUUAUCGGUCUCUUCAUAUGCUAUGUCAAUUCUGUUUGAUGAUUUAUUUUUUAAAGCCUGACAGCAAGUGCUGACAGCAAGUCUGAAAUUACAAGGUAUUGUUGUUAUGAUAUGUCCUUUACUUUGGGUUGUGGUGUCUGAAGAGCUGCCUGUAUGGCAGUCAGCUCCGCUUGUGUCUCUGGCUCAUGAGAUCCAUCCACGUAUAUCUAUAUACAGAUAGUACUUAGUUUUGUUUCUGAAAAGAAUUUGGUUCGGAUGUUUUUCUUAAUUGUAUUUAGCAAGGUCAGGGUCUACCUAAAGAACGAUACAUGAACAGCAUACAAUGGACAGGAAAACAUGAAACAACACAUGAACUAAGAAAGAAUAAACAACAGUAGAAAUGAUGAAUGAAAAUAAGUACAGAAAACGCAGAGAGGAACCAAAUAACAAGAACUGAUAGUAUCAUGAUAAAGACGAGCUGGGAAGGGUGUAAAAAGGACUAGCAUGGUUUUUUCUUUAUCUUGGGUGUGUUCCUGUUUCUGGGACUGUGUGAAUCUGUGAGACUGAGUGUCCUGGUAAGAGAGACCAUUCAUCUCGUAAUAGUAGUUGGCUGUCCUUUCCCUAAUUAUCAGCUCUACAGACUUCUGUCCUAGUUCUGCCAUCACUGACGAUUAUAACAAUGAUGGGCAAACCGUCCCAAUUUAAGAUGUAUAAGGAGGUAAAAAGUACAGACAAGUUAACAAGCUAUAUCCCUUGAAAUAUCAACAGCAUCAGGUGCUAUAAAAAUAAAAAGUUAAAAAGAAAAGGAUACUUUUAUAAUGUGUGCCCUUUGAAUCUUAAAACUAAAAGUAUAACACACUUCAGUCUAUUUUUAUCAUAAUGUUUCUAGCACAUAAUUUUUUUUGUUUAUUAUCAUAUCAUUGGGACUAAACAUUCCACGAUGUCUUACCCAGCAUUUUAACCUGUACUAAUAAUCAUUUGACUUUUUAGCAUAUGAAAUAUGAUUUUAUUACAGCUUGCUAGCUGAGAGUAAAUUAAAUCUUUAUAUUUCAUCUCUUCAAAGGUUAAUCAAUAAAGAAAAAGAAGCAGACAGACAAUUAGAGUAACAUAAUAGAGGGAUUAUGGAGAAUCUUAUCAUGGCUUCUGCUAAGACUAAAUUCUUUGGGGUCCUAGGGACCCCUUCUUCAGAUUUUUAAUGGGUCCCUGUUCUUCGCCCAACUUUGAAUGGGACCCCAUUGACAAAAAUUGAAGGGGUCCUCCGAACUUUUAAUGCGUACUGUACGCAAUUUUUGCGUAAGAAGAAGCCCUGCUUAUAAACUGAAAAACAUGCAUACAAGUUAUUAAGCAGUUUCAAAAUGUUAAUGUAAGUGUGGAAGAAGUUUUGAAAUACAGUGAAUUUUUAUUUUGUAUGCUCACUUAAUGAGAGCAUUUUACUUAGUUUCUUGAAAGGUUACACAAAGUUAAAGUAUACUUAUUAAUUAUUCCUAACGACAAGAUACUAAUCUUAUCAUCCCCUUUCAUGACUCCAAGGCUUUGUGAACUAAUAAAAUAUGUAGCAGAAUUAAAGGUGUGGAUCUUCUUAACCUAAGCAGCGGUCUUAGCUGCAUGCAGUAGGUGUAAGACACCUUUAUAAUCCCCUACCUGGGAGCUUCCAAGGUCUGCUCUUGCUGUCUGCACCUUUGAUAACUAGUUUUUUGCAUCUAAUACAUACCCACUUUCAGAAACUAAAGCCCUAUAGGCAGUGCUAAAACAAGCUAGGCACAAACUGUCACAGACUUAAAUAACCAGAUAUAGUUUAGAGAUAAAUAACUUGUGACAGAGGGUUUCAUGGGUCUGUUUCCACAGGUCCAAGGUUAAACAAACUUGGAAACACCUGUUUACCUCUAAUCCAUUAUGACUGAAGUAUCAACUUAAAUAUAUAUAUAUAUAUACAAAUUGAAUGAACCUGCUAUUUUAGUCAUCAAUGUGACUUUGAUGUUUUUUCCACUUUAUUUCUGGCUGGCUGUGGUUGGCUGGGUCCCUCCGUGCCUCUCUUUCACUCUCUCUCUCGCUAUAUAUAAUGUACACAUUUUCUGGGAAGUCAGCUGCUGAAAAUUCUGGUGUACCUUGGCUAAAACUAGCAGAAUGCUAAUUAGAAUGCUCAGCUUAGUAAGAUCUUUACACAUUAUUUUAACACUGCUUACCUGUCAUACUUAUGCACACAAUAUAAGUAGUAUAUCAUAAACAUCAUUUAAUGAUGGCAUUUAUUUACUGGUUUCAGAUUUACUUGGCUGUUAUUAAAUAACUGAGACUGUUUAUACCGAAAAAAAGCCACAUGCAAGAAUUUAUCAGAAUGAAAAACAAAAGUAGGAACAAAAUUCAAUUAUUAGUUAUGAUACAUCUAUGAAAUAAAACUUAAAAAGAUAAAAAUAAUUAUUUCGUAGCAUAUCUAUAUAUAAAUAAAAAAAUCUCAUUUCACAAAACUACUUGAAAACAUGCAUUGUACUUAAUCAUGAAAGGGCUUUAUUAUUAGUCAGUGAAUGCUUAUUUGGAUUUGCAAAUGAAAAAAAAAUAUCAAUCGUCUAACAGAAAGUGCAUCGAUCAUGUCUUGUCUCAAAAAGAUAAUGUUUCUCUCUGAUAAAUAUAUCUAUUCAUAAAUAUAUCUAUAUAUAGAGAAGGGGGUUAAAGGCAGCAAACUAAGUUAUUAUGUUUUGAAGUCCCCUUAGAGUAAAGCAAUCCGAGCAAAGCAAUAUGCAAUGUGUUGCACAAUUUAAAGAACUUUGAACAUGCUGAAGAUUUCAAGGACAACAUCCAAUGUGAUAUUACUGCUACUAUCUCAACAUGAAAGUCGAUACAUUAAGAAACAUGAAUCUGCAUUGAAAUAUGUCAGGCAGAAAAACGGAAUUGACCUACAUAGAUGUAUGAAGCUUUUUUUCUUUUUGGAUCAGAAUUGCUUUAAGUAGCAAAUUAAUAUUUAGGGUCUCUUUUAAGUGAGUCCUCCUGUGUCAUAUAUAUGUACACAUUACAGACACAUCCAGACAAAUUAUCAACAAUAACAUUGCAUGUUUAAAGCAUGUAACAUAAUGUCUUUGCAAUUCUAUACCUUUUCUUCUUCUUCUGUCCUAUUCGCCCCCAGUGGAGCAUAGGGCCGCAACCACCCGCCGCCAUCGGACCCGGUCCUGGGCGUCCCUUUCUAGUUGGGACCAUGUCAUGCCAGCUGUCUCCGCCUCUCUAAUUAUUUUAUGUAGCACUCCAAUUUCAUGCCAUUUCAACUUGAUAGCUGACAUUUGCUGCGUUUUUUGAAGAUAAUGCGCUAAACAACAUUUCUAUUUAAUCUUAAACGUUUUGUAAGAGUAAUAAUUUCACAACCUGGUUGCCUUUAUCAAUGAGUGAUCAUACAAUAUUACUAUAGGAAAUUUUUAGAUUAUGGUAGCCCCAGCUGGUAUUUGAUUUUAGAACUCACAGUUGUUAACGUACACUUAAUUACAUUACAGCAUCCCAUCAAAGCUCGGACUCUCUAGGCCAGUGGUUCUUAACCUUGUUUGAGGUACCGAACCCACAAGUUUCAUAUGCACAUUCACCGAACCCUUCUUUAGUGUCAUCACGAAUUGCGGGUGUGUCUUGACCUCCGUGGCGGAGGCUCCGCCGAACCCCUGAGACCGACUCACCGAACCCCUAGGGUUCAAUAGAACCCCGGUUAAGAACCACUGACUGACCAUGAUUAAAAAUGCAUACAGUUUUUUCAGUGGUUAUUACCUAAUAUCUAAUGCGAUGUAUUAAAAGACCGCAAAUUUAAAGGACAGAAUAUACAAGCAAAAGUAUUAAUAUCAAGAUCUAUUAGUGUCUAUGAAAUACAAAUGACAAAUUUAGUUUAGUUUAUUCCUCCCAGUUAGUCUUCGAGGUGCAUGGGGCCAUACCAAAAAAGCAAAUGACAAAUCAUAUGAAUAUUACCUUGUAGAUGAUCUUAGUAAACAGAGCAGGAUAUGUUCGCCUGAUUCUCAAAGUAACUUUUGAAGACUCCUGAAAGCUGUUCUUCCACUUUUGCACAUCAUCUUUGGAAAACAGGUUAAUUCUUACAGUACCUAAAAAUGAUUAUUAGCAUCACUGGUCACACAAAACUUGUAGAUAAGGUGCUGAUAUCCUUCAGGUAAUAAAUCUUAAGACAAUAUAAAAAACAAAUCAGAAGCAUUUAUGGAUAUUAUUAGGAGAAAGUCAUAAUGGUAAUUCCAGCAAUAGCACACACUUUUAUAAAAUUGCCUGAGCACCCUUCUCGCUUUCUAGACAUAUACUGCAUUAGAUUUUAUUUAUCUCUAUAUAUACUGCAAUAAUUAUAUGUACACCGCAAUUAUAUAUUCUGAAAACACAUAUCUGGUUACUAAGUACUAUCCCUGAAUUUCUAGAAUUCUAAACUGCCUGGCAAUACUGUCUGUCAUGCUAACAAUCAUGUAACGACUCCAUCUUACACUGUUUAUCGUAUCUAUAUUCCUUCAUCCAUUACUUUACGUUCUACUGCUGCACUUCAUCUUUAUGUUAAUUGUUCAUUGUGCCUAUAUAAGUACCUCAGUGUCCACUGGCUGUUAUCUUUCAUUUAUCAUUAUUAGUCUGCGCAGAGAGUUCGAUGCAUCGUGGUCGUGAUGCUGUCAGUUGUAACUUCACAUUAUUAUUAUUAUUAUUAAUUUAUUUAAAAGCACUUUCAAAGGCUACCUCAAACUGAUCUCCGUGCAAAAAAUAUAAAAAGAACGGCAUGUCCCAGGCUCUAAUUAGUAAUUUAGGAAUAAAAUUCACAAACCAGUAGCUUUGACAAUGAUUCAGUAUCCUGCUCACGCAGUAGAAAUUUCCGUCGGCAUUUCGAGUUUCCUUGGUGAUAGCAAUGAUAAUCGUCGGUCUACAGCUACAAAUUAAGGUUUUCCGCCGUUAACUUUGCACUGACCUUUUAGGGCAUGUGUUUCGUGCACUCUGAUUGGCUGAAAUUCCUCCGACGCUAUUGAGUGUGGUGGAAAAAAGAUUCCGCCUCCUGGACCUGAUAGACUGAUAGGGGAAUAUUUUAAACACUCACUACAUAAAACUACACCCUUUGUAAUGUUCUAUUUUAAUUUUCUCUUUGAGAAGCAAGGUGAAAUAUGCAGUCAUGUAUUGUUCUCACUAUGUAUUAAUGAGCUUACAAACAAAAUCUUCGCAAAGGGUCUAUACGGUAUUCAGCUUAGUUCAGAGUUAAUCCAGUUAUUUGUCCUUUAAUUUGCAGACAACAUUGCUUUAUUUUCUGAUACAGUGAUAAGCUUACAAAACCAGUUAUAUAUUCUAUAUACAACAGCAAAACACUUGGACAUAGUUAUAAAUAUGAAGAAAUAUAAUGUGGUUAUAUUCAGGAACGAGGGUCAUGUUGGUAUUAGAAUGGUGUUAAACUAGAAAUAGGUAAUAGUUUUAAAUAUCCAGGAAUAAUUCUGUUAACAGGCUUUGUUUUCUCAUCCCUUAAAUGAUUUAGCAGUAAAGUCAUGGUUAGGAGUUAUUGGAAUUCUACAAGUUCUUUGACGCCUUGAAGAUUGUAAACUCUUUUUUUCUUUUUCAAACUAUUCGAUACACAAAUUCAACCCAUUUUUCUGUAUGGUUCUGAGGUAUGGGGUCUGUAUUAUGACAACAAUAUUAUUGAGACCAUUUAUUUUGAAUGAAACGUUCUUAAACGUGACAGCAAGAACUCCAAAUUGAAUGAUUUAUUAUGUCAGAUGUAAAGGUUGAAAUUUGCCCCCUAGCAGACUUUCAAAAAAGUGUCAGGUAUGUUGCUGAAAUAUGCACAGUAAUAACAAGCUCACUUGGGGUAACAACAUUAUGGUAGCACUUCAUCAAUAUGGGUUUGGAUUUGUUUGGUAAUGUCAGGGGUGGGCAAUGUUAAGCAGCUCUUAAGAGAAUUCAAGCUGAGACUUAAAGACUGUUUUCACCAAAACUGGCAUAGUAAAUAUCUAGCAGUGAUCGAUUUUCAGUCUACAACUCAUUUCAGUCUUCUUUAGUACUAAGUACCUACCUAACUGACAUUAAACAUA